rnacentral:rRNA from 1 species
UACGUAGGGUGCAAGCGUUAAUCGGAAUUACUGGGCGUAAAGCGUGCGCAGGCGGUUUUGUAAGUCUGACGUGAAAGCCCCGGGCUUAACCUGGGAAUUGCGUUGGAGACUGCAAGGCUUGAAUCUGGCAGAGGGGGGUAGAAUUCCACGUGUAGCAGUGAAAUGCGUAGAGAUGUGGAUGAACACCGAUGGCGAAGGCAGCCCCCUGGGUCAAGAUUGACGCUCAUGCACGAAAGCGUGGGGAGCAAACAGG